rnacentral:misc_RNA from 1 species
CUUGUCCCAGGUGGCCAGAGGAGGCAAGCAGACAUGAGCGCUGCUACUCUCCCGCCCGGCCAGGAGCCGCACGCAGUGUGCGUGCCGUUCCCGGCGCAGGGCCACAUCACGCCGAUGCUGAAGCUGGCAAAGAUCCUCCACGCCAGGGGCUUCCGCGUCACCUUCGUCAACACCGAGUACAACCACCGCCGCCUCGUUCGCGCCCGCGGCGCCGCCGCCGUCGCGGGCCUCACGGGGUUCCGCUUCGCCACCAUCCCGGACGGCCUGCCGGAGUCGGACGCCGACGCCACGCAGGACCCGGCGACCAUCAGCUACGCCACCAAGCACAACUGCCCGCCUCACUUGAGAAACCUGCUCGCCGGGCUGGACGGCGUGACGUGCGUCGUGGCGGACAACCUGAUGAGCUUCAGCUUGGACGCCGCGAGGGAGGCGGGCGUGCCGUGCGCGCUCUUCUGGACGGCCAGCGCCUGCGGCUACAUGGGCUACCGCAACUUCCGCCUCCUCAUCGACAGGGGCAUCAUCCCCCUCAAAGACGAAGAGCAGCUGACGAACGGGUUCAUGGACACGCCGGUGGACUGGGCGCCCGGCAUGAGCAAGCACAUGAGGCUCAAGGACUUCCCGACCUUCCUCCGCACCACGGACCCCAACGACGUCCUGAUGACCUUCCAGCUACAAGAGGUGGAGCGCUCGGAGUACGCGUCCGCCGUCAUCGUCAACAGCUUCGACGAGCUGGAGCGGCCGGCGCUCGACGCCAUGCGCGCCACCAUCCCGGCCGUAUACACCAUCGGCCCGCUCGCUUCCGUCACGGAGCAGGUCGUCCCAAGGGGCCCCCUCAACGCGGUGAGCUGCAGCCUGUGGCAGGAGGACCAGUCCUGCCUCGCGUGGCUGGAUGCCAGGAAGCCCCAGCCGUGGUCGGUGGUCUACGUGAACUUCGGGAGCGUGACUGUCAUGAGCGGGCAGGAGUUGGCGGAGUUCGCGUGGGGGCUGGCGAGCAGCGGCCACGACUUCCUGUGGGUCGUCAGGCCGGACGUCGUGAAGGGCGACACGUCCUCGGCCGCGGCGCUGCCCCCUGGGUUCCUGGAGGCGACCAAGGGCAGGGGCCUCGUGGCGAGCUGGUGCGACCAGGAGGCCGUGCUGCGGCACGAGGCGGUGGGCCUGUUCCUCACGCACAGCGGGUGGAACUCGACGCAGGAGAGUCUCAGCUCCGGGGUGCCGAUGCUGUCCUGGCCCUUCUUCGCGGAGCAGCAGACCAACUGCCGGUACAAGUGCGUCGAGUGGGGCGUGGCGAUGGAGGUCGGCGACGACGUGCGGCGGGAGGCCGUGGAGGCGACCAUACGGGAGGCGAUGGGUGGGGACAAGGGGAAGGAGAUGGCGCGCAGGGCGGCGGAGUGGAAAGAGGUCGCCGCGGGGGCGGCGGCGAGGUCGAUCGCGAACCUCGACACGCUGAUCAACGAUGUGCUGCUCUCUCCGGCACGAUUGGGCGGCUCACUCAAAACGACUUGAAUAAUGGAUGGCCCCGAUCAAAUCUUGGCGAUGCGGUGCCAUGGAUGAGCGAUGACGACUAUCGAGAGUCUGAAAUGGUUGUCUUUCUUUUCCAGCCCCCAUCGUGACUUUUGUGACUGUGUGAUGUAUGCGUUUGCAAAGUUAGUGUUUCCCUCUCGUCGCCUUGCACGGUAGUUACUAGUUAGACCAAGAGCUCCUUAAAAUUAAAACAAAAGUUGAUUUUGUUUU